AAGGUAACAAUUAUCAUCUUCAGUUUUGAGAGACUUAAGAAAGUUUUUCAUUUUAACUUGCUUGCAAAUUCAUAUUUGCAACAUUUUAAUCUUUUUAAGAUGAAGGGCCUAUAGCUCAGCUGGUUAGAGCACACGCCUGAUAAGCGUGAGGUCGGUGGUUCAAGUCCAUUUAGGCCCACCAUAACCACAAAUAGGCAAAAUCUUAAAAAAGCUCUUUGAAAAGUAGAUAACGAAGAUUAAAA
rnacentral:misc_RNA from 1 species